UCUUAUGGAUGAGCAAAGAAAGUGGUUUCUUGAGCCUGAAUCUACUCCUAGUGAAGAUGCUGUGAA
rnacentral:pre_miRNA from 1 species